GGGCGUGGCCAAGUGGUAAGGCAACGGGUUUUGGUCCCGCUAUUCGGAGGUUCGAAUCC
rnacentral:tRNA from 1 species